rnacentral:rRNA from 1 species
GACGAACGCUGGCGGCGUGCUUAACACAUGCAAGUCGAACGAGCGGCGGACGGGUGAGUCAUGUAUGGGGACUGCCCGAUAGAGGGGGAUAAAUACUGGAAACGGUGGCUAAUACCGCAUACUAUCGGAUACCCCAUAUGGGAUUGGCUAGUAGGUGGGGUAAAGGCUAACCUAGGCGACGAUCUCUAGCUGGUCUGAGAGGAUGACCAGCCACACGGGAACUGAGACACGGGCCAGACGCCUACGGAGGCAGCAGGGGGGAAGAUGGCAAAAUGGGAGCAAGCCUGAAGCAGCCAUGCCGCGUGGGUGAAGAAGGCCUACGGGUUGUAAAGCACUUUCAGCGAGGAGGCGUUACUCGCAGAAGAAGCACCGGCUAACUCCGUGCCAGCAGCCGCGGUAAUAC